rnacentral:tRNA from 1 species
GUUCCGGUAGCUCAGUUGAAUCCGAGCGCGGCUCUCCGAAAGCCGAGGCCGCUGGUUUGAAUCCAGCCCGGAACA